GUGCCAGCAGCCGCGGUAAUACGGAGGAUGCAAGCGUUAUCCGGAAUGAUUGGGCGUAAAGCGUCUGUAGGUGGCUGCUCAAGUCUGCUGUCAAAGACCGGGGCUUAACCCUGGAAAGGCAGUGGAAACUGAGUAGCUAGAGUGCGGUAGGGGUAGAGGGAAUUCCCAGUGUAGCGGUGAAAUGCGUAGAUCUUGGGAAGAACACCAGUGGCGAAAGCGCUCUACUGGACCGCAACUGACACUGAUGGACGAAAGCUAGGGGAGCGAAUGGGAUUAGAUACCCCAGUAGUCC
rnacentral:rRNA from 1 species